UGUAUCGGAACGUGCCCAGUCGUGGGGGAUAACUGCUCGAAAGAGCAGCUAAUACCGCAUACGACCUGAGGGUGAAAGCGGGGGAUCGCAAGACCUCGCGCGAUUGGAGCGGCCGAUAUCAGAUUAGGUAGUUGGUGAGGUAAAGGCUCACCAAGCCGACGAUCUGUAGCUGGUCUGAGAGGACGACCAGCCACACUGGGACUGAGACACGGCCCAGACUCCUACGGGAGGCAGCAGUGGGGAAUUUUGGACAAUGGGCGCAAGCCUGAUCCAGCCAUGCCGCGUGCGGGAAGAAGGCCUUCGGGUUGUAAAGCUCUUUUACCCGGGAUGAUAAUGACAGUACCGGGAGAAUAAGCUCCGGCUAACUCCGUG
rnacentral:rRNA from 1 species